UACAGAGGUCCCAAGCGUUGUUCGGAUUCAUUGGGCGUAAAGAGCUCGUAGGCGGUUUGUCGCGUCUGCCGUGAAAGUCCGGGGCUCAACCCCGGACUUGCGGUGGGUACGGGCAGACUAGAGUGUGGUAGGGGAGACUGGAAUUCCUGGUGUAGCGGUGGAAUGCGCAGAUAUCAGGAGGAACACCAAUAGCGAAGGCAGCUCGCUGGGACGUUACUGACGCUGAGGCGCGAAAGCGUGGGGAGCGAACAGA
rnacentral:rRNA from 1 species